rnacentral:rRNA from 1 species
GACGAACGCUGGCGGCGUGCCUAAUACAUGCAAGUCGAACGCAUUUUCUUUCACCGUAGCUUGCUACACCGAAAGAAAAUGAGUGGCGAACGGGUGAGUAACACGUGGGUAACCUGCCCAUCAGCGGGGGAUAACACUUGGAAACAGGUGCUAAUACCGCAUAAUUCCAUUUACUGCAUGGUAGAUGGAUGAAAGGCGCUUUUGCGUCACUGAUGGAUGGACCCGCGGUGCAUUAGCUAGUUGGUGGGGUAACGGCCUACCAAGGCUGCGAUGCAUAGCCGACCGGAGAGGGUGAUCGGCCACACUGGGACUGAGACACGGCACAGACUCCUACGGGAGGCAGCAGUAGGGAAUCUUCGGCAAUGGACGCAAGUCUGACCGAGCAACGCCGCGUGAGUGAAGAAGGGUUUCGGAUCGGAAAACUCGGUUGUUAGAAAAGAACAAGGAUGAGAGUGGAAAGUUCAUCCCUUGACGGUAUCUAACCAGAAAGCCACGGCUAACUACGUG